UUUUGAGGAAAAAUACGGAGGUUUCGUGACUGUGUCCCCCACAUUUUUCAAGCCCCUUACGUUUUUCUUCCACAGUUAAAAUUCGCUAAGUACAUUUGAGAUUCUCCAAAGUGAUGAAGAGAGACCCAGGAAGGAUUUUUCGUUAAAGGAGCAGUAUUUUAGCAACACAGAGAAGGAAACAGAUGCAUCAACUACUCCAGUUUCAACAGAGACAAAAUACAAGUUUGAUGUUUUAAAGAAAAGUGGAUGCAGUCGUGCUGUCCUCUUCUUGGAAGUUAUAACUGAUGAGCAGAUGGAAAAAUGAAGGAACAAGCU